rnacentral:rRNA from 1 species
UACGAAGGGUGCAAACGUUGCUCGGAAUUAUUGGGCGUAAAGCGCACGUAGGCGGCUUAGCAAGUCGGAAGUGAAAUCCCUCGGCUCAACCAAGGAAGUGCUUUCGAAACUGCUGAGCUUGAGUACGAAAGAGGAUCGCGGAAUUCCCGGUGUAGAGGUGAAAUUCGUAGAUAUCGGGAGGAACACCUGUGGCGAAGGCGGCAUCCUGGACCGAUAUUGACGCUGAGGAGCGAAAGCCAGGGGAGCAAACGGG